rnacentral:rRNA from 1 species
AUGCUUAACACAUGCAAGUCGAACGGUAACAGGCCUUCGGGCGCUGACGAGUGGCGGACGGGUGAGUAACGCGUAGGAAUCUGCCUCAUAGUGGGGGACAACGUGGGGAAACUCACGCUAAUACCGCAUACGCCCUACGGGGGAAAGCGGGGGAUCUUCGGACCUCGCGCUAUGAGAUGAGCCUGCGUUAGAUUAGCUAGUUGGUGGGGUAAAGGCCUACCAAGGCGACGAUCUAUAGCUGGUCUGAGAGGACGAUCAGCCACACUGGGACUGAGACACGGCCCAGACUCCUACGGGAGGCAGCAGUGGGGAAUAUUGGACAAUGGGCGCAAGCCUGAUCCAGCAAUACCGCGUGUGUGAAGAAGGCCUUAGGGUUGUAAAGCACUUUCAAUUGGGAGGAAAACCUGUCGGUCAAUACCCGGCAGCUUGACAUUACCUUUAGAAGAAGCACCGGCUAACUCCGUGCCAGCAGCCGCGGUAAUACGGAGGGUGCGAGCGUUAAUCGGAAUUACUGGGCGUAAAGCGUGCGUAGGCGGUUAAUUAAGUCAGAUGUGAAAGCCCCGGGCUCAACCUGGGAACGGCAUUUGAUACUGGUUAACUAGAGUUUAAUAGAGGGGAGUGGAAUUUCAGGUGUAGCGGUGAAAUGCGUAGAUAUCUGAAGGACACCAGUGG